rnacentral:lncRNA from 1 species
UUUUUUUUUUAGUAUUUGUAGUUAGAUUCUCUUAGUAGGUGAGGUGGAGAGAAUGAAUGAAUGAAUGAAUGAAUGAAUGAAUGAAUGAAUGAAUGUCAAUAUUUCAGAGAGCCUAUAUAGUUGGUGGUGUGAUGGGCAAAUGGGACUAACACUAGAAAACACCAAUGUGCUUUGAUAAUGAGUUUGGCAGCAAAGUAGAGCUUUGUUUCCUGUUGUAGCCAAGGCCCCUUUGCCUCUGCUCGCACAGUGCUGCAGCACCAUGUCCACUCUGGGACAGUUAACCUUAGUUUUGAAAAUUACAGACCGCUUGUAUUUAAAAAGCCCAGCAGAGACAGCUUAAGAUGGCUCUAGAUAGCUGGGAAGGGGAAGGGGUACAUUUGUGAUGGUUCUGUUGUCAAGGGAAAACAUUGCUAUUAAAUUGAGGGGGAAAUGUAAGGUUUCAUCUAGAAAACGUUAGAAAUUCAAGUCCAAGUCACCGAUGACCCUAGCCGGAAGUUAGGCCAAAGAACUUUAACCGCGUGGUUUAUCUCUAGCAUUGGAAGUUUCACAGAAUGCCUGUUUUAGAAGUACUUUACAAAAUACAAUCGAAUGUUUUCCUGUUGGAAGCAUAUUAGUUGAGAAGUGGCAUUUUGGUGCCAUCUUAUGGUCAUAAAAAUAUGAUGCCUUGUCUAGUUAGCUCCUGUUUGUUAAGUCUACAUCUUCUAGUCAUAAUAUGGAUGAGGCUAGUGAGUAAGGCCCAUACCACAUCAUCUAUGAAGCAGUAUGGGACAAGCUACUAUUACAUAGCUGAUUGUGUAGAAAUAGUGUACAUAAGGGAAGACAUGAGAAACUGCAUCUCACACGGCAUGUGUUCAUGUGGAGGCCAGCUGUCAUUCCUCACUGGAUCUGACAGGGUCCCUCAUUGACUUAAGAGCUCACUAAAAAGGCUAGACUGGACAACUAGUGAACCCAGAGAUCUGCCUCUCUGCACUUUCCCAUGCCUGAAAUUGGAAGUGUACAUAGUAUGGCUGGCUUUGUAAAGGUAUGUGCAUUUUGUAAACUUUGUUACAGGCCAGGGGUUGACACAUUGAGUGUCUUCUGCUAUUAUGCUUUUUUUUUUUUUUUUUUUGGACAGGUUCUUUGAGUCUAGAGUUCACUGGCUGAACGUGCCCCCCCCCUCCCCCAAUCUGCCAGAUCUACUUCCCUUUCCUUCUGAGAACUAGGGUUACAAAUACAGUCAUGCCCAGCUUUCAUAGGGGUUCUGGGGAUCCAAACUUAGGUCUUCACACAUGCUCACCACGUCCUUUUCUCACUGAGCCAUCUCCGCAGCCUGGAUUUGUCUAUUGAAAACUUGUGGGAGUUCAGAUGCUAGAAGGUUUAUAGUACUUUGUCAUUAGAAACCUAGGUUUGAGGCUCUUCCUGUUCCUAGAUUUCAGCUCCUUUGUAAUGUCUGCCUUCUUGAGACCAGACAAGAGGGUAUUAUUAGAAUGCCAGCUUUAAAAACAAAACAAAAACAAACCGCGGGGAUCUGGGACUUGAGCAGAUUCAGCUUUCAGGUGAGCUGUUUCCUCAACCAAGUAGCCACAAUCCAAAUUACAUGUCUUUGACCAUUAUUUCCAUGACUUCAACAUGACAACUCUUAAAUUCCUGUAACAAUCCUCAUUCUCGGCCUUGUCCACCGUCACUGAUUAUCUUGACUGACUUUCACAAUCUUUACCCUCAUGGUAUCCUUUUCUAGUGCUCGGCACCCAUCUUGUUUCUUGCUUUGCUCUUCCUUUUCAGGUACAGAUGUAACAGGAAUGGGUGUUUAAUCACAUUUUAGUGCCAGGCAAGGGUUACCAUGCUUUAAAACGGGUACUAAACACCGAUAGACACAUUAUUUUGACUUCAUCCAGUUGAGACCGACUCGUUGACUGUUAGCUUUUAUGAACAAAGAAGGGUAGGUAAGGCCAUUUAGGCAGUAAAGGUCUUUGCCUUCUAAAAGUAUAAUUAAAUUAGGACUUCAAGUUGAAAUAAUAAGGGUCACUUGAGUCCUUUUCUCAUGACCAACUGGCCUGGAAAAGGUCAGAGGUUAUAUUUACAGAUGAACAAACUUUCAAGGUUUUGGUUACUGAAAAUAACUUGC